rnacentral:rRNA from 1 species
UACGGAGGGGGCUAGCGUUGUUCGGAAUUACUGGGCGUAAAUCGCGCGUAGGCGGACCUGCAAGUCGGGGGUGAAAGCCCGAGGCUCAACCUCGGAACUGCCUUCGAUACUGCGGGUCUCGAGUCCGGAAGAGGAAAGUGGAAUUCCUGGUGUAGCGGUGAAAUGCGCAGAUAUCAGGAAGAACGCCAAUGGCGAAAGCAGCUUUCUGGGACGGUACUGACGCUGAGACGCGAAAGCGUGGGGAGCGAACAGG